rnacentral:rRNA from 1 species
UUCUCCUGGAAAACGGGUGGUAAUGCCGGAUGCUCCGACUCCUCGCAUGGGGUGUCGGGAAAGAUUUCAUCGGUAUGGGAUGGGGUCGCGUCCUAUCAGGUAGUCGGCGGGGUAACGGCCCACCGAGCCUACGACGGGUAGCCGGCCUGAGAGGGCGACCGGCCACAUUGGGACUGAGAUACGGCCCAGACUCCUACGGGAGGCAGCAGUGGGGAAUAUUGCACAAUGGGCGCAAGCCUGAUGCAGCGACGCCGCGUGCGGGAUGACGGCCUUCGGGUUGUAAACCGCUUUUGAUCGGGAGCAAGCCUUCGGGUGAGUGUACCUUUCGAAUAAGCACCGGCUAACUACGUGCCAGCAGCCGCGGUAAUACGUAGGGUGCAAGCGUUAUCCGGAAUUAUUGGGCGUAAAGGGCUCGUAGGCGGUUCGUCGCGUCCGGUGUGAAAGUCCAUCGCUUAACGGUGGAUCUGCGCCGGGUACGGGCGGGCUGGAGUGCGGUAGGGGAGACUGGAAUUCCCGGUGUAACGGUGGAAUGUGUAGAUAUCGGAAAAGAACACCAAUG